rnacentral:rRNA from 1 species
CCUACGGGAGGCAGCAGUGGGGAAUAUUGGGCAAUGGGCGCAAGCCUGACCCAGCAACGCCGCGUGAGCGAUGAAGGUCUUCGGAUUGUAAAGCUCUGUUGCAGGGGACGAAGAUUGACGGUACUCUGUAAGAAAGCCCCGGCAAACUACGUGCAAGGAGCCGCGGUAAUAUGUAGGGGGCAAGCGUUGUACGGAAUUACUGGGCGUAAAGGGAGUGUAGACGGUUUGUCAAGUCAAGUGUGAAAGCCUGCGGCGUAACCGUGGAAUUGCAUUUGAAACUGACUCGCUUGAGUGCAGGAGAGGUGAGUGGAAUGCCUAGUGUAGCGGUGGAAUGCGUAGAUAUAAGGAGGAACACCAGGGGCGAAGGCGGCUCACUGGACUGUAACUGACGUUGAGGCGCGAAAGCGUGGGGAGCAAACAGGAUUAGAUACCCUUGUAGUC